rnacentral:rRNA from 1 species
UUACCGAUGUGUAGUGCGAUGUGGGGACGGAGAAGGUUAGCUCAGCCAACUGUUGGAUAUGUUGGUUCAAGCCUGUAGUCGUGCCUGGUAGGCAAAUCCGCCGGGCUUAGAUGAGGGGUGAUAACGAGUCUGCUUGCAGACGAAGUGAGUGAUACCCAGCUUCCAGGAAAAGCCACUAAGCUUCAGCUACACACGACCGUACCGCAAACCGACACUGGUGCGCGAGAUGAGUAUUCUAAGGCGCUUGAGAGAACUCAGGAGAAGGAACUCGGCAAAUUGAUACCGUAACUUCGGGAGAAGGUAUGCCCCAAGUAGGUGAACUCGAACAGAGGGAGCCCAACGGGGUUGCAAAAAAUCGGUGGCUGCGACUGUUUAAUAAAAACACAGCACUCUGCAAACACGAAAGUGGACGUAUAGGGUGUGACGCCUGCCCGGUGCUGGAAGAUUAAAUGAUGGGGUGCAAGCUCUUGAUUGAAGUCCCAGUAAACGGCGGCCGUAACAAUAACGGUCCUAAGGUAGCGAAAUUCCUUGUCGGGUAAGUUCCGACCUGCACGAAUGGCGUAACGAUGGCCACACUGUCUCCUCCUGAGACUCAGCGAAGUUGAAAUGUUUGUGAUGAUGCAAUCUCCCCGCGGAAAGACGGAAAGACCCCAUGAACCUUUACUGUAGCUUUGUAUUGGACUUUGAACAGAUCUGUGUAGGAUAGGUGGGAGGCUUUGAAGUGAUGUCGCUAGAUGUCAUGGAGCCAACGUUGAAAUACCACCCUGGUGUGUUUGAGGUUCUAACCUAGGUCCAUUAUCUGGAUCGGGGACAGUGCAUGGUAGGCAGUUUGACUGGGGCGGUCUCCUCCCAAAGCGUAACGGAGGAGUUCGAAGGUACGCUAGUUACGGUCGGACAUCGUGACGAUAGUGCAAUGGCAUAAGCGUGCUUAACUGCGAGACUGACAAGUCGAGCAGAUGCGAAAGCAGGACAUAGUGAUCCGGUGGUUCUGUAUGGAAGGGCCAUCGCUCAACGGAUAAAAGGUACUCUGGGGAUAACAGGCUGAUACCGCCCAAGAGUUCAUAUCGACGGCGGUGUUUGGCACCUCGAUGUCGGCUCAUCUCAUCCUGGGGCUGUAGCCGGUCCCAAGGGUAUGGCUGUUCGCCAUUUAAAGAGGUACGUGAGCUGGGUUUAAAACGUCGUGAGACAGUUUGGUCCCUAUCUUCCGUGGGCGCUGCAGAUUUGAGGAAGCCUGCUCCUAGUACGAGAGGACCGGAGUGGACACACCUCUGGUGUAUCGGUUGUCACGCCAGUGGCAUUGCCGAGUAGCUAAGUGUGGAAGAGAUAACCGCUAAAAGCAUCUAAGCGGGAAACUCGUUUCAAGAUGAGAUCUGCCGGGGCCUUGAGCCCCCUGAAGAGUCGUUCAAGACCAGGACGUUGAUAGGUCAGGUGUGA